AAAAAAAUGGUUUUUAUCUGCUAUAGGAUAGGAUCGUGUUCGAUUAUGGUUGUUGGUGAGGUAAUGGCUCACCAAGCCGAUAAUCGAUAGGGGCCGUGAGAGCGGGAGCCCCGAGAUGGGUACUGAGACAACGACCCAGGCCUUACGAGGCGCAGCAGGCGCGAAACCUCCGCAAUACACGAAAGUGUUACGGGGUUACCCAAAGUGUUCAAUUUUGAACUGUGGUAGGUGGAGUAAUGUUCCCUACUAGAAAGGAGAGGGCAAGGCUGGUGCCAGCCGCCGCGGUAAAACCCAGCUCGUCAAGUGGUCGGGAUAAUUAUUGGGCUUAAAGUGUCCGUAGCCGGUUUAGUAAGUUCCUGGUAAAAUCGGGUAGCUUAACUAUCUAUAUGCUAGGAAUACUACUAUACUAGAGGGCGGGAGAGGUCUGAGGUACUACAGGGGUAGGGGUGAAAUCUUAUAAUCCUUGUUGGACCACCAGUGGCGAAGGCGUCAGACUGGAACGCGCCUGACGGUGAGGGACCAAAGCCAGGGGAGCGAACCGGAUUAGAUACCCGGGGUAGUCCUGGGCCGGAAACGAUGCAUACUAGGUGAUGGCACGGCCAUGACCCGUGUCAGUGCCGUAGGGAAACCGUUAAGUGUGCCGCCUGGGAAAGUACGGUCGCAAGGCUAAAACUUAAAGGAAUUGGGCGGGGGGAGCACCACAAGGGGUGAAGCCUGCGGUUCAAUUGGACUCAACGCCGGAAAACUUACCAGGGGAGACAGCAGUAUGACGGUCAGGUUGACGACCUUACCUAACGAGCUGAGAGGAGGUGCAUGGCCGUCGCCAGUUCGUGCCGUGAGGUAUCCUGUUAAGUCAGGCAGCGAACGAGAUCCGCACCUUUAUUUGCCAACAAGAAGUCACGACAUCGUUGGGAACACUAAAGGGACCGCCGUCGAUAAGACGGAGGAAGGAGCGGGCAAAGGCAGGUCAGUAUGCCCCGAAACCCCUGGGCUACACGCGGGCUGCAAUGGUAUGAACAAUGGGCUGUGACUCCGAAAGGAGAAACCAAUCCCGAAAUCAUAUCUCAGUUGGAAUUGUCGGCUGUAACCCGCCGACAUGAACGCGGAAUCCCUAGUAAUCGUGUGUCAUCAACGCACGGUGAAUACGUCUCUGCUCCUUGCACACACCGCCCGUCGCUCCAUCCGAGUGUGCUAAAAAUGAGGUUUGGUCAA
rnacentral:rRNA from 1 species